AUUAAAUGUCCCUAGGCAACUCUUAGAUGAGGUGCCCACCUACAUCAGUAGAAGAAAUUCUUAACCUGAAAGUAUCCCACACACUGAAGAAAUCACAGGGAUAAAUACAAAAGAAAAAGAAGAUGGAUGAAAAUCUGACUUAAGAGCAUCAGAUGAAAAGAAAGAGAGCACGAGAGAAAUGAUGGCCUGUCCUGAUGACAACAAUAGUGGAGAAGAUGCGGAAGAUGAAGUUGACUUAGAGGCAGAAGAUAUGUAUUCAAUUCUUGACCCUAUCACUUAGGAUCUUGGACAAGAGCUACCAUUUAUAUAUUGCACUUAAAAAGCACCACAACAGCUCUAGGAGGUAGGUGCUCUUAUUAACCCCAUUUUACCAAUGAAGAGAUUGAGGCUGAAUGAGGUUAGGUGACUUGCAGGGGUCACACAACUAAAGGGGUAUCUAAGGCCGUAUUUAAACUCGGGUCUUCCAGCAUCUAAGUCCUGCGCUCUAAACAUUGUGUCACCUAGCUACUUCACGUCACUUUUAUGGUCUGGCCUCAAUUUCCUCAUCGGCAAAAUGUAAGGGGCUGGUGGACUAUGGGACUUCUAAGUACGGGACAAAGGGUCUAGUCUCCCAGUUCGCCCUCGUUCCCACAAUGCCUCUACUGACCCGCGGCCGCCAAAGUGAGGCCGGGCCGCUCUUCGGCCACGCAGAGCAGCGGACACAGCGCCAGGGCGAGGCCCCGAGGAGCAGCAGCAGCCUCCGCCAGGUCCCCAUGUCCUCCAAUCCAUCCAACUCGCGCUGAACCAGCAUGCAAACAACCCGGGACUCGACGCACGUUAAUGACGUCACGUGGCAACGCUUGGCGUCUCCGCCCUGGAGACUGAGGAAGUGGUGUUUCCUGUAGGGCUGCUGCGCUGUAGCCGAAAAGCUCCGCUGCUUCGGUGGCGCCCGGAGAUGUGGGGAGCUUGCCCUUGUCCUCCUGAGGCACCGUUUCUGUCGGACCAGGAUACAGAUUCCUUUGGUCCUGCGGACUGGCGAGUGUUGGUCUAAAAAACCUCUGGCCCCGAACUUCAGGGUUAGAGGCUGGAGUGAGAUCGCAAUUAUUUGCAUUCACAGCAGGGCCAAGCCACUCAAUUGAGAUAAGAAGCUAGGUAGGCAAGGGAGUACCUGAAGCUCUAUUUCCAAGGCUUGACCCCUUUCCCAUCUAAUACUAGUUUCACAAUUAAAACACAUAGAGAAUAGCAAAGAAAUCCAUUUAUCCACAUGGUGGCAAAACAAACCAGAGAAGGUAUACACAUAUACAAGAUAAUACAAAAUGAAGGAGUUCUCCAAAUUGGAAGGAGAUAACCCAGCCCAACCAAGAAUGUCCUGGAUCUCCCUCAAAAGGAAAUUGGGUUGUGCAUUGAGUAGGAAGCAGGAAGCAAGGACCUGAUGGAGUCUGCUCUUCUCAUGUCUUCUCAGAGUCUUUUCUUUCAGCAAGGGGUUGGCCUCUUCCAUCUUCUAUCUCAAAACUGGAAGCCAACUUAAAUGUGCUUUGCUAGAAGACUGUAGCUUGGAAAGGCUAUAAACAGGGAUUCCCAAAGGCUAUAGGAGUACUGGCUCUGAUGAAUGGCAAAGUGGAAAUUGGCUGAGAAAUGAACCUCUCACCUCUUACCAACUCCACCCUGCCCCUCUCAUGCAAGAGCAGGGCCAUCUCCACCUAUAAGGAGGGUCCCAUACUGAUGGGCCUUAGGACAAGGAUUACAUUGGCUUUUCUUAAUUGUUUUAUUUUGUUGUAAGAGAUCCCUCAAGGAGUGGGUAUAAUCUGUAAAUGUAAUGUAAGAACCAAAGAUAUCAAUAAAACUUAAAAGAUGACUAAAAAAUUAAUGAAAAAGAUAGUAGACUAAAAUAGGAAGAGUUUUAAAUGCCAAAAAAAAUUAUUCUACAAAUAACAGACAACCACUAGAGUUUAUUGAGGAAAAUGACGUGGUCAGACCUGCUUUAGGGAAAAGUACUAUGGGGCUAUGUGAAGAAUGAAUUGGAGUCAGUCAGUGGAGACUAACAAACCAAUUAGGAGACUUGCAAUGAUCCAGUUGAAAGGUGAUAAGGUCCUGAACUGGGCAGUGGUUGAGUGAGUGAAGAAAAUGAGACAUAACUGGAAGAUUCUGUGACUACAGAAACAAAAUAUGUCAAUCAUUCAGGCAACAAUCAUUUAUUAUACCUUUAACUAAGUAAAUGCUGAUCAUUUUGCUAAGUGCUGAGAAUACAAGGAAGCUACAAAGGCAACAAGGUAUUUCCAAUGUAUGAUUUUCAAAGUUGGAAUAAAAUAGUUUUAGAACAUGGUUGAGAAAAUCCAGGGUGCAGGCUGGAAAGGAAGAAGGCAACUGAAGAAAACUGAAGGAAUAAGACAACUGAUAUGAUAUGUGAGAUGGGUGACUGUGAGGAUAAUACCAAAGUUGUGGACCUGAGUAACUGGGAGGAUAGUGAUAUGCUUAACAGUAAUAGACAAAGAUUGAUUGGAGGGGGAAUAUGAUGAGAUCUAUGUUGGACAUGUGGCAUUUGAGACCAACUCAGAAUAAAUCAUUUGAAAUAUUUAGUAGGCAAUAAGCAAUGUGGGGCUAGAACUCAAGAGAGAGACUAGAGCUGAAUAUAUAGAUCUGGAAGUCAUCUGCAUAGAUAUGUUAGAAGAAAAGAAAAAAAAACAGAGGAAAGGCAUAUCCCCGAACAGAGCCUUAGAAGACACAAUUAGUGGAAGUAGGAUGAUGAACCAGAAAAGAAGACUAAGAAGGAACGGUCAGAUAGGCAAAAAGAAAACUGGAUGAGAGAAGUGUUAUGAAAAUUCAAAGAAAAGACAGUAUCCAGGAGAAGAGGGUGCUCAACAGUGUUACAUACUGGAGAGGGGUCAAAUGAGAUGAAAACUGAGAAGAGGCCAUUGAAUUUGGCAAUUAAGAUCUAUAGAGCACAAACGAUAAUAUUGGUGACAUCUCACAUUACAGAACAUUUAGAAGAAUAUGAGAGGCGAGGAAGUAGAAAUACUAUGGAUAGCUUUUUCAAGAAGUUUGUCUGACAAAGGAAAGAAAAAUAUACAAUAAGGGGCAGGAAUGGUUGGAUCUAUGUGAAUUGUUUUUCAUUUUUUAGGAUGGCAAAAAUUUUGGCAUGUUAGUAAGCAGCAGGAAAGAGACCAUAGAUAGGAAGACUUGAAGGGUUGCAGGAAAGUAGAGGGAUGAAAGUGAAGACAACCUGCUAGAGAACACACAAUAGGAUGGAACCAAGAAUACAUGUUGGCAUUGAUGAAGAGAAGAACUACCUCUUCAUCAGAGACUGGAAUAAGGGAGAAACUAGUCAGGAUAGUAAUUUGUGAGAUGAGGGAGUCUGAGUGAAUAGUCUCUAUUUAAUUAAAUAUAAGGCAAAGACUUCAGUUUAGGGGGCAGCUGGGUAGCUCAGUGGAUUGAGAGCCAGGCCUAGAGAUGGGAGGUCCUAGGUUCAAAUCUGGCCUCAGACACUUCCUAGCCAUGUAACCCUUGGCAAGUCACUUGAGUCCCAUUGCCUAGCCCUUACCACUCUUCUGCCUUGGAGCCAAUACACAGUAUUGACUCCAAGAAGGAAGGUAAGGGUUUAAAAAAAAAAAAGACUUCAGCUUAGAGGGCAGGGGAAGGAAUUCUGUAAAGGACCUUGAGGAGAGAAAUUUUAGAAGAGCUCUCAUGGAAAGUGACAGAGAAAAGAGAAUGCAGAUUUUUGUUUGAAAAUUUUUUUUAUUUAAAAAAAAUUGAAAGGAAGGCCAAGAAUGUAAUGUAAUGGAGGAAAUACUUGAUAGGUAUGAGGGUUGGAGAAAACUAGACAGAACCAGGUCUCGACUGAAAUUCAAAACAUGGAAAGAACAUGAGAACUGAUUUUUUCAAAUCAUCCUGAAUUCAGUGAACUUAAUUGUGAAGUAACCAGUGCUAGAAUAAAACCUUUUUUUUAAAUACUUAUUUUCUGUCUUAGAACCAAUACUGUGGCAGAAGAAUGGUAAGAGCUAGGCAAUAAGGGUUGUGACUUGCCCAGGGUCACAUAGCUAGAAAGUGUCUGAGGCCAGAUUUUAACCUAAGACCUCCUUUCUCUAGGCCUGGCUCUCAAUCCACUGCCCCUUAGUGUAAAACUUGAAAGAAGUUUGAAAGUAUUUUGAAAGCCUUCUGAAAAACCUUUGUCAAGAGAAAAAAUUUCCAAAGUAGGCAUUCAAGAAUGAGACAGAAGAUACCAUAUUUAGUGAUGAUUCAGAUGAUGACUCUUUACAACCACAGAAAAAGCAUCUCAAAAGCACUGAUGACUGCCAAAGGUUUAAAUAAAGCACAGUAGCAAAAAUUGGUUUGAACUUUAAAAAAAAACCAAAACACUUUUUAUUAGUGAUUAACAUAAUUACAAGGAAAAGUCCAUAGACACUCUAACUUUUAGAUUUAUAGAUGGUUAAUAGAUAUUGAUUUUCCUUAAUAUCCCAUUUCUCUUUCACAAUACACAUACAUUCAACACUUAGUCAGGAACCAAAAAAAAUCAGUGAAGAUUGAGAUAGACUUUCUUACCCCUUCUCAAAAAUCAUAAAACAGCAUCUGAAAAGGUAGUUGCAUGACUGUAUUAUAAAGAAGGGAUAAAGGCUUUAUUUAGACUGAAAGUUAAAAGUUGAAAAAAUAAGUUUUCAACAUAUAAAUUAUUUCAUUUUCAGAAAAAGUGAUGCCACUACCUAUUAUUCUUACCAAAGGCACAUAGCUGGCAAUUAUAAAUUUAUUCUACUGUACUAAAUAGUAUUUUAUUAAUAUAACAUUAAAUAUCCUAGGAUAAUGAUUGGUGCAAUUAAAGUAUAUAUAGCUGCCAUUAAGGACAGUGAUGGUCUGUCUUGUAAUAUAAAGAAUAUAUUUUUUAAAAUCAGGAGGGAAAAAAGAGCAAGAGAAAAGGUCUAAAAUGGAGGGAAAUUUUCUUAAUUACAGAUUGGGAAUUCCAGAGGGUACUGUGGAAUGGGGCUUGCAAAUGUAGAAGAGAAUAUUGAGGGGAUUAAACUCAAGCUCCUGAAACUUUCUUAGCUCUGACCUUUCAAAGUCAGUCUUGUCCAUUCCAUUUCAUAUAUUCAUUCACCUAAGAAAAGGAAAGAAUGAAGCACACAAAAAAGAAAGAAAAACAGCAGAGAUGGGUUGCGGUAGUUGGGGGUGAAGGAUCAGGAGUUAAAUGUAGAGUUUCUCUUCAAAAGUGGAGAAUGUAUUACCACAAAAUUGGAGAAUAAAGGGAGGUGGGGUGGUUGAAAGGUAUUCACCAUAAGGCAGAGGCCAGGCAGAGUAUCAGUGGAUGAAUAGAGCUCCAUCAAUGAAGGUGUAGUUGGGGCUGAAUUGAAGUAUAUCAUAUGGAGUACUAAGCCUUUGUCCAGUCUACUUCCAAAGAAAACAUCUUAGCAUUGAAAUGGGUUCUUUAAAAUGAUCCCAUUAUUGGCUGCUGAGCAGAAAGAGCCACUGAAAAUUGCUUGUCAGCUCCAGGAGGGGGGAGAGAAGAGAGGAGGGAAAGAACAUGAAUCAUGUAACCAUGGAAAAAUAUUCUUAAUUAACUAAUUAAUUUUUUUGAAAAAAAAAGGAGCCACUGACUCAUUUGAUCCUCAAAAAUAAUAAUCUGGUGGCUCAGAAGAUUGAAAGCCAGGUCUAGAAAAGAGAGAUCCUGGGUUCAGAUCUGGUCUCAGAUACUCCCUAGCUGUGUGACCUUGGGCAAGUUAAUUAACCCCAUUACCUAUAGCUCUUACCACUCUUUUGCUGUGGAUCCAAUAUACAGUAUUGAUUCUAAGAUGGUAGGUAAAGGUUUAACAAAAAAAAUAAUAAAAAUGGAUUCUUGGACUCUUCUCUUCCUCAACUAUGGUUCAAAUCAGGACUAUUCAAAUCUAUUCCUAGAAGGAUGAUGAUAGAAAGGACUGAAUGACAAAGCUUGCUCACAUAGCAACUAACAUCUGAGGUCAAUUUGAAGCUGGACUUUGGGUCUCUUCUUACUUGUUUCCUUCCUACAUAUGUGCAAACAAAAAGUGAUUCCUAGAUGAAUGUGGCCAGUCUUGAAGGUGUUUUGGAAGUCUGGAAGUUUGGAGAUCCUGGGUCCCUUGAUUAAAGCUAACUGGUGGCAGGGAGAGUUUCUACAUCAAAAGACAAUUUCCAACAUUGGGAAGAUCUCAAUCCCUGACUAGGCUUGCCAGAAGACUUCAACCAAGAAGAUGUUUGAAUAGUACAAAGCCAAGGUGAAUUAUAAAAUGCUUUCUUUGGUUCCAUAAACUGCUUUAUGCCUUCUUGUUUUUAAGUAUCAAUCUCUCAGAAAACAUAACAGUAGUUAUAAAUGACUACAAUCUAUUUUUGAGUCUCUUGUGGAUUAUGACUGUAUUUAACAUUUCGUUUGUGUGAUGGAAAUAAUAGCUAUCCUAUAUCUGAUUCAUAUUUUAAAUAAAGUACCUUUCUACUCUUGUCCUUUUGUUGAGAUCCAGGCAUGAACCAAACCAAAGUUUUUAAAGUAAUAUUUCCCUGGAUUUUAGGCUGGUGAGGUAAGAGACAAUGAAUCAUUUGAGUCAAAAUCAUCCCUCUUUGGAAGUAAGUUUCCCUAAGAACUGAACCAAAUCCAUGUGUAGGUUCAAAGUUGAAAGACCUUGAAGUGGGGGAAGAGCGGCUUUGUCCUUUAUCCCAAAACCCUGAACAAAUCAAUUUUUUUUAUUGUUUAAAAAAGGCAAGUAGAUAGAUUGUUCUUAGUCUACUUUCACCUUGUAGCUAAGAUGGAGUCAAAUCUGACCUGCUGCC